rnacentral:rRNA from 1 species
CCUACGGAGGGCAGCAGUGGGGAAUAUUGCACAAUGGGGGAAACCCUGAUGCAGCGACGCCGCGUGAGUGAAGAAGUAUUUCGGUAUGUAAAGCUCUAUCAGCAGGGAAGAAGAAAGACGGUACCUGACUAAGAAGCCCCGGCUAACUACGUGCCAGCAGCCGCGGUAAUACGUAGGGGGCAAGCGUUAUCCGGAUUUACUGGGUGUAAAGGGAGCGUAGACGGCUGUGCAAGUCUGAAGUGAAAGCCCAGGGCUAAACCCUGGGAGUGCUUUGGAAACUGGGGAGCUAGAGUGGUGGUGAGGUAAGUGGAAUUCGUGGUGUAGCGGUGAAAUGCUUAGAUAUUAGGAGGAACACCAGUGGCGAAGGCGGCUUACUGGACAGUAACUGACUUUGAGGCUCGAAAGCGUGGGGAGCAAACAGGAUUAGAUACCCUAGUAGUC